ACCGUACUCCUACGGGAGGCAGCAGUGGGGAAUUUUGGACAAUGGGCGAAAGCCUGAUCCAGCAAUGCCGCGUGCAGGAUGAAGGCCCUCGGGUUGUAAACUGCUUUUGUACGGAACGAAAAGCCUGGGGCUAAUAUCCCCGGGUCAUGACGGUACCGUAAGAAUAAGCACCGGCUAACUACGUGCCAGCAGCCGCGGUAAUACGUAGGGUGCAAGCGUUAAUCGGAAUUACUGGGCGUAAAGCGUGCGCAGGCGGUUUUGUAAGACAGUGGUGAAAUCCCCGGGCUCAACCUGGGAACUGCCAUUGUGACUGCAAGGCUAGAGUGCGGCAGAGGGGGAUGGAAUUCCGCGUGUAGCAGUGAAAUGCGUAGAUAUGCGGAGGAACACCGAUGGCGAAGGCAAUCCCCUGGGCCUGCACUGACGCUCAUGCACGAAAGCGUGGGGAGCAAACAGGAUUAGAUACCCGAGUAGUCCUUGAC
rnacentral:rRNA from 1 species